UUAACUUUGUCCAUAUAUUUGAUUCUUAAAUCGUGACUUUAGAAUUGGGGUUGAAAUUUAAGAAUCAAGGAUUAAAGUGGUAGAAAAUUUGAUAAAUUGGAAGUUAUCAUGCAACUUUGAAGGUUGUGUAGUCUAAUUUUAUCAUGGAGUUAGCCUAAACAAGAGAAUUAACUUGAGGUUGAUAUGAUAUGAUUUUAUAUUCGAUCGAAUGGAGUCCUAUCAAUUGUUCGAGGCGACAAGUUGGUAUUUCAAAAAUUGUACUGUGAGUAGUAAUCUUACCACGAUUUGUGUUUAUUAAAUUGCAUAUUUAUACAUGUUUUUGAUGAAACAAUGAGUUAUGAAAUACUUUGAAAUUGCAUGUGGGACAAGUCCCUUAUUUGAUAUGAUAUUGAAAUGGUGAUUUGAGAUAUCAUCUUGAUAUGAUAUUGAAAUGGUGAUUUGAGAUAUGAUCUUGAUAUGAUAGUGAAAUGGUUAUUUGAGAUAUGAUCUUGAUAUGAUAAUGAAAUGGUUAUUUGAGAUAUGAUCUUGAUAUGAUAUUGAAAUGGUUAUUUGAGAUAUGAUAUUAUUAUGGUGAAUAUUUUCACUUGCAUGAGAAAUAAGUAUUUUUGACAUUUGUUUUUAUUCAAGUUUAUAUGUAACAUGAUUUGAUAUGAACUUUAAAUGAUAUGUUUAUUCUAAACAAAAAUGUUUUCAUAUGAACAUCCUAUUGUUUACAAAGAAUUUAUAAAUAGGAGUAGACCUUGAUUUGAAUUCCGUAGCUAACGGUGGGAUCAUUAGACCUGGUGCACUUUGUAUUUACAGAUAAAUGUUACAACCCUUGCUAGUGGGAAGGUAGAACUAGCAUACUGAUACUGAUAUGAUAUUUGUUUCCUUUAUGAGGGGUCCACUACUAUGGGUAAUUCUUAAUGAAGAAGAAUGUCAUACUGAUUACAUGAUUCAUUCUUGGAAACCUCCCAAAUAUGUAUAUUUGAUAUGAUAUGAUGCUUUUUAAGUUUAUUACUGAACUAUUGAUUCACUCUGCUUACAUGAAGCAUAUGAUACUAUUUAUUUCUAUUGUUUUCUGAAAGAGCAUUAUGUUAUGAAGUUUUAUGACUUGUCCCCAUCAAAACAGUUGUGACUAAGUGUUAUUACUCACUGAGCUAGCGGCUCACUUCUCGCUAUUAUUUUUUUUAGAGAACGCAGGUGACGGUGAGGAUCGUGUUGGCUAGAGGAUCUGGGUAGCAUAUUCCUGGUGAACCCCACAAUUGUUCGUGUGGGCUAUAGUUUAUUUAUUCGUUAUGUUUAUUUUUCUUGAAAACUCUUAGUUUUCUCCAUAGUUAUGUCUUUAGAGUUUUGAGUCUUUCGCUAUUUUGGAAUAUUAAAUUUUUUCUCAUCUUGAGAGAUGGUUUUCCUAUUGUUAGUUGGUGGUAUUGGUGAAGUGUUGAUGAUCUAUGGUGAAUUAUUUUUGGUGUUUGUGUGGUGGUUGUGUUGUUUGAUUGAUUUGUUGUUGAAUUGAGACAGGAAAUUUUCUUGUUAGGCCGAAAAACAGGAAAAACUCUACCCGAUUUCUAUAGAAUUCCGACGAGGCUUGCUUUGGAGUUCUAAACUCCUUAGUGCCGGUCAUGGACUAUUUUUGGAUCGUGAUAAAGUUGGUAUCAGAGCGGUUAUUUCUGUGUCUAUGGAUCACACGAUAGUAGUAGAAUCUCAAUUAUGGUUAUGUUGCCGGCCAUUUCUAUAAUCGUGAUUUUGCGAGAGCGUGAUAGGAUGUGUCAUAAUUUUCUUUCUCAUUCUUCCUUACGUGUGUGAUGAUUAAGUCCCAGUUAACAAAUCUAACGUUUUAUCCUUUAUCAUAUGACUAAAAUUCGAAAUUUCAAUAAUUUGAGCAAGUUUGAGGUGGAUAACGAAAGGAAAGCGAAUCUAGCUUUAAGAUAUAUCUUUUAGACUAGCGAAGAGGUAGUCCGCGAGCGCUUUUCAGAUUAUGAGCUACUUUUUGUUGGAUGGAGAUAUGGCGAAGAGCACGAAUCUCUUCUGGGGAAUGGAUAAUGAAACAGGAAACAAUCGAUUACUUCACAAAGUGGCUAGUGGUAGUGAAAAUGAUCAACGAUGGGUCGUUGUGCCACCAUGAGAGAUUGUUGUACUUCCAUGAGUUUUGUAGGAAGACCCUUUUGAAAAGAGUAUAGUUUAUCUCUACAACCAUUGAAGAAUGUUGUUAUUGCGAUAAUUAUCUCCCUAUGAAGCGCAAUUAAGAGCUUGUAAAAGGAAAUGGAUAGACAUAGAAAGUCUGGGCACUGAAAAUGUGACUUAAAAUGAAUAGAGAGUUAGACAACAUGGAAUAGUAUAUUUUGACAAAAUUACUGAAGAUUGGGAUUAUCAAGUUCAUCGAAUUUUGAGAGUUUGAACGAAUCUUAUAUGUUUUUGAAAUAUAUAUAUAAAGAAUUUUGAACUCUAGGACAUCCCAAUAUGGGGCCCAUAGAGAUAGCAAAUCACAGAUUGAAGGUCAUGAACAAAUACAUGGUAUGACAUCGUAUUACUGGAAACCCAGAUUUGAACAACACCAAUGACAUGAGAUAAUUCACUAAUGCAUUAGAUCUUUCGUAGAGGGCAUGCCAUUUUGACAGGGGUAUUAAGAUAUUGGUUCAGACUAUGAAUGCACCACUAUUUAAUUUUCUCAAUAGGCUGAAUACGCGUCUUAAUUAUUUUCUAAGAAGCAUUCCAUGUUUAGAAGUCAUUUUGAAGGUUGGGUUAGCCCUUAAACAAGGCAGUAAACCCAUACACAAAUACCUUACUUACUUUGAGAUGAUUGAUAUUGUUGAAGACAUUGAAAAUAUGUUAAGUUAUAGGAGAGAAAAUCAUGAAUUUGUACAGGUUGAAACCACCAAAAAUUUUUUAAUCGCUAUUUUAAAAUGGGUCAAGAUUUCAAAAUCAAAGACUACAUAAGAUAUCAAGCAAUUUUCUUUGAUGAUGCUCUUGCUGGAACAUCUAUGUUAGUUGAGAUAUGUAUCGAGCUCGUGGGCUUGAGUUGAGAUGAUUGUAAUUUAUAUGCACUAUUUUGAUAGACUAAUGGGUACGAAUUGGCUAUCUUCUUGUCAUACUAUCCUCGAUUGUUAUGCAAAGAUAGUUAAAUUUGAGAUAUUAAAUGAGGCUGCCUUUGUCCUAAAGAAAAUCAGGUUCCAAAAAUAAGCAAUGAUAUAUGAUUUGUGAUACCUCAACUAUUACAGAAGAAACAAUUAGAUUUAUUAGCAAUGGCUAAAGACUUCAAGAUUAGACAUCUAGUUUUAAAGCAGUACUAAAUUUAUGAGGUGUUACUUAUAUGACAAGAAAAUAUUAUGUUAUAGACUUGGCACUUAACACACAAAUCAUAUCUAUACCUCUGCCCUCCCCUUUAUCCAAUUGUGCCAACAAAGAAUAAAGGAACUAAAGGAAUAAUGUGUGAUCUACAGAUAAAGAGUUGUAUCUAACAGAGUAUGUUGUUACAUUAUACAACAAUGUUGGUUGUGAAAAAGGGAUGAGUUCUUAAGAAUGUGCAUCGAUUAUAGAUAGUUGACUAAGACAUUCAUACAUAUUGGAUACCCAUUGUGCAGUGAAGUGUGUCUGAUCGAUUACGUGGAGCCUUCGAUUUUUGUUAAAAUAAAGUUGAUAUUCUGUCUAGUUAUUAGUAAUUUAAAACCCGAGAAGAACUGUUAUGUUAUUCUUACUAAAAUGGCCUGUAGAACUUGGUGAAUGCAUUAUCAUUUCUUUGUGACAUCCUUCGAGCUAGGUGAUGCUCUGAUUGUGUUUAAGGAGUUAAUGAAUAAGAUGUUGAAGUCAUUUAAAAAAAAGAAAAUAUGAUAGUGUCAUUGAUGAUAUUGUGUAUAUUUUCAUCGUCGGGAAGAACAUGAGGAUCACUUUAACCUCAAUAUCCUUUUCUCAGAGUGUGUUUUGUCUAGACUUAAUGUCAUGUCCUCAGAUAUGUUGAACCUAAGGAUUAGAUUAUUAUGGAUAUUAAUAAGAUUGAGGAAUAUCAAAAAAUUGACCAAUGUUCACUACUCUUACAAAGUUUCACAACGUUUUAGGAAAUUUCAAUAACCACAGAUUCAUAUAGAACUUCAGUAAAAUAGUAAAGCCAUGGAUUUUCAUAGAAAAAUAUGAAAGUUUCAGUGGACAGAUGAACGUGUACAGAGAUAUUAAAAGCUCAAGAAAUGUUUGGCCACCAUAAUAGUAUUAGUGUUAGUGUCUUGUUCUAGAGGACUCAUGGUGCUUUGUGAUGCUUUGAAGGCGGGAAUUAGAUGUGUCCUCUAGAAGAAUAGUUGUGUGAUGCUUCUAGAUAGUUGAAUAAGCAAAGAUAAACUUUUCUCUCAUGAUUUGAAGAUGGUUAUAAGGGUAUUUCGCCUAAAGGCAUCAUUAACUUAUAUGAUGAAACUUGUGAGAUUUAUAUCGAUCAUAAGAGCUUAAAGUACAUUUUUCGGUAGAGAGAUCUAAAUCUUUGGCAUCGUUAGUGGAUGAAACUACUUAAGGAUUAUGACUGUGUUAUUUUGUAUCAUCCUGAAAAUGUUAACGUUGUGGCUAAUACUUUAAGCUAAAAAUCUGUUGGCAAUUUGGCGCAUAUAGCUCCUGGAAAGAAGCAAUUGGUGUAAGACAUGCAAAAACUUGAAGUAAAAAGUGUCAGUUUUGGUAUCGAAAAGUCAGGGGUAUUGUUUGCUUGUGUUUAAGCUAAAUCUUCUUUAGUAGAGUGCAUAAAGGCCAUACAAUAUGAGUAUGUACAGUUGUGAAAAUAUCGAGAUGAGGUUCUAGCUGGGAAAAUAAAAUGAUGAGUGUUGAUUGUGAUGUUAUUCUCUGAUUGGUAACCUAUUAUGUGUACUAAAUGCAGAUGAGUUAAGAUGAGCUAUUCUUGAGGAAGUUCACAACUUCAGAUACACCAUUCACCCUGGUUCCACUAAGAUGUAUCAUGACCUUAAGCAAUUGUACCAGUGGGAAGGUAUGAAGAAAGAUGUCGCUAUCUUUGUUUAUUACAGGGAUCAGGAUUCCAAAUUGGAAAUGGGAUAGAGUUAUCAUGGAUUUUGCAUUUCAGUUACUGCUAUCAGUUAAAGGCUAUGACUCUGUAUGGGUAAAUUGUAGACUGACUUACUAAAUCCACUCACUUCUUGCCAAUAAAGACACAUAUAGUGGAGUCAAUUAUGCUUAGUUAUUUAUGAAUGAAAUUGUCGGACUUCAUGGAGUUGCAUUGCCUAUCAUUUCUGACAGAGGAUCACAGUACACUUCACACUUUUGGGGAUAUUUUCAAAAAGCAUUAGGCAACCGAGUAAAUCUUAGUACUAUAUUUCAUCCACAGAUGGACGGACAGUCUAAGUGUACUAUAUAAAUUUUGGAGGAUAUAUUGAGAUUUUGCAUUCUUGAACUUUGAGGUAGUUAGGAUACUUACUUACCCGUAGCGGAAUUUGCUUACAAUAAUAGUUUUCAGUCAAGCAUUCAGAUGGCUCCAUAUAAAGCCUUGUAUGGGAGGCGAUGUCGUUCUCCUAUCGGGUGGUUUGAAAUUGGAGAGGCCAAAGUUUUAGGACUAGACUUAGUACAGGAUUCUAUGGACGAGGUCCAAUUGAUUAGAGAGAGGUUACCCACAGCUCAAAGCAGACAAUAGUCUUAUGCAAACAAGAGGAGAAGAGAUUUGGUGUUCGUAGUUGGGGAUAAGGUUUUUCUAUGAGUUUCUCCAAUGAAGGGUAUGAUGCUAUUCGAAAAAAGAGAUAAAUUGAGCCUAAGGUAUGUUGGACCUUAUGAGAUACUUGAGCGUAUAGGAGGAGUGGCGUAUCAUGUAGCACUUCCCCUGAAAAAUCUUACAUCCAUCCAGUGUUUCAUGUCUCUAUGCUAAGAAAGUAUAUAUCAAAUUCUUCUCGCGCGCUAGAAGUACCGACCUUGCAACUUGAGGUGAACUUAACCUAUGAGAAGGAACCAGUGGCCAUCAUCGAUCGACAAGUAAAAAGGUUACGUUCAAAAGAGUUUGUAUUCGUGAAAGUCUUAUGGAACAACCAUACUACUGACGAAGCUACUUGGGAGUCAGAAAAAGAUAUGAGACUCAAGUAUCCUCUCUUGUUUCAGUCUUCAGGUAUGGACUUAUUUUAAAUUUGGGGACCGAAUUUCUUAAGAUGGGGAGAAUGUAAUAUCCCAUAACAUUUUUUUAUAGUAGUUUUUGUUAAAAUAAUAGAAAGAAAAGGAAGAAAAAGGAAGAGAAUUAGUGAACUGCCAUCAUACUCAAACCAAAAGAAAAAAUUAAAAAGAUAAAGUGGGUCACACCCAUCUUUCAAUCAAAAAGAAAGAUAAGGAAUGGUUUUUGCCCAUAUGCGCCCAAACCAAUCAGAAGAAGGAAAGAAAUAGUUAGGUCAUAGUCCAUUAGGAGUUAAGGGUAUUAAAAAUUGAUUGAAUCCAAUUAGUGGCUGCACUACCACUCGUAAAAGAAGAAAAAGAAAAAUAUGCAACCUGUGAAUCCUUUAGCAAGCAAAGCAACGAGAGUUCAAUCUUUUAGUAUUCUCCUGGAGAAGCACGAAAGGGACCAAUCAUCAGUAAGGUAAUUAAAGAGAAGUAGGAAAAAUAGGUAAAUUUCUUAACUUGGUCCAUAAAUUUGACUCUUAAUUCAUGACUUUAGAAUUGGGGUUGAAAGUUUAAGAAUCAAGGAUUAAAGUGGUAGAAAAUUUGAUAAAUUGGAAGUUAUCAUGCAACCUUGAAGGUUGGGAAGUCUAAUUUUAUCAUGGAGUUAGCCUAAACAAGAGAAUUAACUUGAGAUUGAUAUGAUAUGAUUUUAUAUUCGAUCGAAUGGAGUCCUAUCAAUUGUUCGAGGCGACAAGUUAGUAUUUCAAAAGUUGUACUGUGAGUAAUAAUCUUACCACGAUUUGUGUUUAUUAAAUUGCAUAUUUAUACAUAUUUUUGAUGAAACAAUGAGUUAUGAAAUACUUUGAAAUUGCUUGUGGGACAAGUCCUUUAUUUGAUAUGAUAUUGAAAUGGUGAUUUGAGAUAUCACCUUGAUAUGAUAUUGAAAUGGUGAUUUGAGAUAUCAUCUUGAUAUGAUAUUGAAAUGGUGAUUUGAGAUAUGAUCUUGAUAUGAUAGUGAAAUGAUUAUUUGAGAUAUGAUUUUGAUAUGAUAUUGAAAUGGUUAUUUGAGAUAUGAUCUUGAUAUGAUAUUGAAAUGGUUAUUUGAGAUAUGAUUAU
rnacentral:lncRNA from 1 species